rnacentral:rRNA from 1 species
UACACACCGCCCGUCACACCAUGGGAGUUGGUUUCACCCGAAGGCGCUACGCUAACCCGCAAGGGAGGCAGCCGCCCAAGGUAUAGUUCAUGAUUGGGGUG